rnacentral:lncRNA from 1 species
UCUGGUUCUUACUGCUCUUAAAGGCACAGGCUCUGUGGCCCCGUGUCCUGCAGGUAUUGGGAGAUCCACAGCUAAGACACCGGGACCUCCUGAAAGCCAAAAAUGGGACCAUUGCAGUUUAGAGAUGUGGCCAUAGAAUUCUCUCUGGAGGAGUGGCAUUGCCUGGACACUGCACAGCGGAAUUUAUAUAAGGAUGUGAUGUUAGAGAACUACAGAAACCUGAUCUUCCU